AUUGAACGCUGGCGGCAGGCCUAACACAUGCAAGUCGAACGAGUGGCGGACGGGUGAGUAAUGUCUGGGAAACUGCCCGCUGGAGGGGGAUAACUACUGGAAACGGUAGCUAAUACCGCAUACCAUCGGAUGUGCCCAGAUGGGAUUAGCUAGUAGGUGGGGUAACGGCUCACCUAGGCGACGAUCCCUAGCUGUGCUGAGAGGAUGACCAGCCACACUGGAACUGAGACACGGUACAGACUCCUACGGUAGGCAGCAGUGGGGAAUAUAGCACAAGGGGCGCAAGACUGAUGCAGCCAUGCCGCGUGUAUGAAGAAGGCAUUCGGGUUGUAAAGUACUUUCAGCGAGGAGGCGUUACUAGCAGAAGAAGCACCGGCUAACUCCGUGCCAGCAGCCGCGGUAAUUC
rnacentral:rRNA from 1 species